rnacentral:tRNA from 1 species
UCUCCGUUAGUAUAUCGGUUAGUACACGCGCCUGUCAUCAGAACUGGCCGCGCGAAAGCUGGGUUCGACUCCCAGACGGAGAG